rnacentral:rRNA from 1 species
UACGUAGGGUGCGAGCGUUGCCCGGAUUUAUUGGGCGUAAAGGGCGCGCAGGCGGCUCGGCACGUCCGUUGUGAAAUCGCCCGGCUCAACUGGGCGGGGUCAGCGGAUACGGUCGAGCUUGAGCAAGCUAGGGGGCAAUGGAAUUCCCGGUGUAGUGGUGGAAUGCGUAGAUAUUGGGAGGAACACCAGUGGCGAAGGCGGCUCACUGGACCGGAACUGACGCUGAGGCGCGAAAGCGUGGGGAGCAAACAGG